UUGCUAUGAUGACCAUCUUAGGACACCUUUGGAAUGCCUGUGAAAAAAAAAUCGUAUUUCUGAGCAAC
rnacentral:snoRNA from 1 species